rnacentral:lncRNA from 1 species
UGAUUAUAUAACCUCCUAACGUUCUUCUAUUGAUUAUAUAACCUCCUAACGUUCUUCUAUUGAUUAUAUAACCUCCUAACGUUAUUCUAUUGAUUAUAUAACCUCCUAACGUUCUUUGCCACACACGGAGGUUCUAUGACUGUAGUGCUACUUUGAUGAAUUUUGAUUGGCUGUCAACAAGCUACAUGCGCCACUCAUGAAAUGCAUACUGUACUGCAUACUGUACUGUCAUUUUUAUCUCUAUCAGAAUCAGGGCUACUUGAAUACAAAGGGGAGACGAAGUUGUGUCCUUGUUUCUUUGUAUUUCCGUCUCGCACCGGUGGAAUGCUGGGAUGAAGUCUGCGUAAAUAUGUCAACAUGUUUGAGGUGUUGGUGGAAUGCUGGGAUGAAGUCUGCGUAAAUAUGUCAACAUGUUUGAGGUGUUGGCACUUGUAUAGGCUAUUCUCGUUGAUCAGUGGCGACAUACUGUUAAGGUUUUAUCUACAGCUCUCUUUCUAUUGUUGUUGUAAAGUACUGUUAGAUGAUGGAGGAUCCUCCGAGGUUAUCCACCCCACCACUCUCCAUCGUACACUCUCCAUCGUACACAACUAGUUCCCGGCUGCGCCUCACAAAAGGAGACUUUGAAAUGCUCCAGUUAUGAUUUGAAUUUUGAUUACAACAUGUGCAUAGGCUCUAGUUAUUUGAAUGGAUUAGCCUACAGUGUUUUUUUCAGCUCAGAUAUACCCAAGAGGGAAUGGCAUACAUCGCAGUGUAGGAAUUACCUAUAGACCUGGUGUUUACAUUUUUGAAAAUAUUUGUUUAUGUAUUCAUUCGAGGUCCCCCUACCAAACGGUCCGGUACGAAUACAUGUACCAUACACCCCUAAUAUGUGCAUCUCCUCAUGUGACAUUUUGUUACAUUUGUGUUCUUUAUGUUACUCCUACCUUGUCAUGUUUAAUAAAUACAUUUCAAAUUGCACAUCUUUUCAUUGUUGACUCAGGUAUGAUAUUGGAAACCUUGGUUAAUGGUUGAAGAAUGUCAUGUCUGGCGUUAGGCUAAUUAACAUAAAUGUGCAUGCAUUUGAUGUUCUCAACCUAGAUUUUUUUUGCGAGUACUUGAUAAUAAUUUAAUGUGAGUACUCAAACAUUUAAAUCAUUUAAAAUGCCCUAGUAGCGUCUUACAUGCCUACUGUAGAGACCAUUUGCAUCAGUGUAAAUGAUACACAACAGUGGAUCGAUGUGAAUACUCUCUAUCUAUGUGGCCCCUUGCUGUCCCCUCCUCCAUCUCUUUCCAUCUCUGUGGCCCCUUGCUGUCCCCUCCUCCAUCUCUUUCCAUCUCUGUGGCCCCUUGCUGUCCCCUCCUCCAUCUCUUUCUAUCUCUGUGGCCCCUUGCUGUCCCCUCCUCCAUCUCUUUCUAUCUCUGUGGCCCCUUGCUGUCCCCUCCUCCAUCUCUUUCUAUCUAUGUGGCCCCUUGCUGUCCCCUCCUCCA